rnacentral:rRNA from 1 species
AGGUUGAAGUUCAGGUAACACUGAAUGGAGGACCGAACCGACUUACGUUGAAAAGUGAGCGGAUGAGGUGUGGGUAGCGGAGAAAUUCCAAUCGAACUUGGAGAUAGCUGGUUCUCUCCGAAAUAGCUUUAGGGCUAGCCUCAAGUGAUGAUUAUUGGAGGUAGAGCACUGUUUGGACGAGGGGCCCCUCUCGGGUUACCGAAUUCAGACAAACUCCGAAUGCCAAAUAAUUUAACUUGGGAGUCAGACUAUGGGUGAUAAGGUCCGUAGUCGAAAGGGAAACAGCCCAGACCACCAGCUAAGGUCCCAAAAUAUAUGUUAAGUGGAAAACGAUGUGGCGUUGCACAGACAACUCGGAUGUUGGCUUAGAAGCAGCCAUCAUUUAAAGAGUGCGUAAUAGCUCACUAGUCGAGUGACACUGCGCCGAAAAUGUACCGGGGCUAA